rnacentral:rRNA from 1 species
CCUACGGGAGGCAGCAGUGAGGAAUAUUGGUCAAUGGGCGUAAGCCUGAACCAGCCAAGUAGCGUGAGGGAAGACUGCCCUAUGGGUUGUAAACCUCUUUUAUGCGGGGAUAAAGGUGUCCACGUGUGGAUGUUUGCAGGUACCGCAUGAAUAAGGACCGGCUAAUUCCGUGCCAGCAGCCGCGGUAAUACGGAAGGUCCGGGCGUUAUCCGGAUUUAUUGGGUUUAAAGGGAGCGUAGGCCGGUCUUUAAGCGUGCCGUGAAAUUUUGUGGCUCAACCAUGGCAGUGCGGCGCGAACUGGAGAGCUGGAGUGGGCGGAAGGCAGGCGGAAUUCGUGGUGUAGCGGUGAAAUGCUUAGAUAUCACGAAGAACCCCGAUUGCGAAGGCAGCCUGCCGCAGCGUUACUGACGCUGAAGCUCGAAAGCGCGGGUAUCGAACAGGAUUAGAUACCCUUGUAGUC